rnacentral:tRNA from 1 species
GCCACCUUAGCUCAGGGGUAGAGCGCAUCCAUGGUAAGGAUGAGGUCGUGGGUUCAAAUCCCACAGGUGGCUCCA